UAAACAUGAGCGAUNNUCGGAACACUCAGGUUCGAAAAGAGAAACCAUUGCGUGUCCCUAGGCCGGGUUUUGCCCGCCGGGUGGUACAACACUGUCAAAACCCAGUGCAAAUUGGAAAUCAGCGUCUGGGAGACUAAAAAAAAAACUACACUCAACUACGGAUCUCUAUUUCUGGCAUCGAUGAAGGACGCAGCAAGAUGCGAUAAGUAAGUGUGUAAUGCAGAAUGCAGUAAAUAAUCGAUUAUUUGAUCGCACAAUGCGCCCCGUGGUAUUCCAUAGUGCAUGCCGGAUGGAGGGUCAUGUGUACCUUCAAGAUUUGAGCGGUUGUUGGGGUGAUUGGUCUCUGCGCUGUGUUGACGCUGCUAGUACGUCUGCCGUCGCAAUACGAGUGGUCAGCGCGUGUCAGCUAGUGAUGUUAAUGGUAGACGGCGAUGUGACUAUCCAUGAGUCGUCAGAUAUGCAGAGCAGUCGACGACAGCGGAUGCGUGAGCGAUGCACAACAAUGCAGAGUGACGUAGCGUGGUAUGACAGGAUAAUAGAUCAAGUCGGA
rnacentral:rRNA from 1 species